rnacentral:rRNA from 1 species
GACGAACGCUGGCGGCGUGCUUAACGCAUGCAAGUCGAACGGAAAGGCCCUGCUUUUGUGGGGUGCUCGAGUGGCGAACGGGUGAGUAACACGUGCGUAACCUGCCCUUGACUUUGGGAUAACUUCAGGAAACUGGGGCUAAUACCGGAUAGGAGCUCCUGCUGCAUGGUGGGGGUUGGAAAGUUUCGGCGGUUGGGGAUGGACUCGCGGCUUAUCAGCUUGUUGGUGGGGUAGUGGCUUACCAAGGCUUUGACGGGUAGCCGGCCUGAGAGGGUGACCGGCCACAUUGGGACUGAGAUACGGCCCAGACUCCUACGGGAGGCAGCAGUGGGGAAUAUUGCACAAUGGGCGGAAGCCUGAUGCAGCAACGCCGCGUGCGGGAUGACGGCCUUCGGGGUGUAAACCGCUUUCGCCUGUGACGAAGCGUGAGUGACGGUAAUGGGUAAAGAAGCACCGGCUAACUACGUG